AGGCCUAACACAUGCAAGUCGAGCGGAAGAGAGAAGCUUGCUCCUCUAGACAGCGGCGGACGGGUGAGUAAUGCCUAGGAAUCUGCCUGGUAGUGGGGGAUAACGUUCCGAAACGGACGCUAAUACCGCAUACGUCCUACGGGAGAAAGCAGGGGACCUUCGGGCCUUGCGCUAUCAGAUGAGCCUAGGUCGGAUUAGCUAGUUGGUGAGGUAAUGGCUCACCAAGGCGACGAUCCGUAACUGGUCUGAGAGGAUGAUCAGUCACACUGGAACUGAGACACGGUCCAG
rnacentral:rRNA from 1 species